rnacentral:rRNA from 1 species
GACGAACGCUGGCGGCGUGCCUAAUACAUGCAAGUCGAGCGAGCGGCGGACGGGUGAGUAAUGCCUAGGAAUCUGCCUGGUAGUGGGGGAUAACGUCCGGAAACGGGCGCUAAUACCGCAUACCAUCAGAUGUGCCCAGAUGGGAUUAGCUUGUUGGUGGGGUAACGGCUCACCAAGGCGACGAUCCCUAGCUGGUCUGAGAGGAUGACCAGCCACACUGGAACGGAGAAACGGUCCAGACUCCUACGGGAGGCAGCAGUGGGGAAUAUUGCACAAUGGGCGCAAGCCUGAUGCAGCCAUGCCGCGUGUAUGAAGAAGGCCUUCGGGUUGUAAAGUACUUUCAGCGGGGAGGCGUUACCCGCAGAAGAAGCACCGGCUAACUCCGUGCCAGCAGCCGCGGUAAUUC